UGAAUACUCUGUCUUAAAAGAUAUAAUAGUUACUGUGUUCACAUUACACGUGACAUUACAAUGGUGGUGAAAAGUGGCAAUUCACUGAAGUUACUCUACUGCUCACGUCAAUAGUGCUAGCAGACUGUUAGCUCCAGGACUUGCUAGAUUGGACUUUGGCUGAUACACUGUAUGAUUGAGUGAUUGCUCCCUACACAUAGAAUUAUAACAGUGCCAGAUAUCAUUGCAAUAGUUCGAGCUUCUCUACCUUUGCAGAUUGCAAGACAGAAGAUCCUGAAAACACAAAAAGAACUAGUCAGUUUUCACAGCAAACAUGCAAGAGGGAAUCCUAAAGGUUUUCUGGAAAAGUGGAUUGGAAAGUGAACAUGAGCUCCUGCUUUACACCAGAUGGAAUCAAAGCAUAAGAAGAGACAGAUGGACCUUGUAAAUCAUACCGGGAUGGUAUGAACUCUCUCAGCAAACCAUGCAUUGACCAUUUCUCUGCAAAACAGAAGUGAAAGUGUCAUCAAUUUCUCUUUGAAAAAGAGCUCUGGUUUCACCCAAAUGGCUUAUGAAAUGAUACUUUCAUAUGAAAAACUACAUCAACAGGAAGAAUGAUUAAUAUAUUAUCAUAACUCUGAUUUUAACAAGGACGUCUUUAUAGCACUUAAUAUGCUGAGCUUCCACAGAUGAUGUUAAAAUGUGGGAGAGAAGACUUUGUACAAUAAAAAUACAUGAAAUCAUACUUUUCAAUUCACGCUGCAAGCUGUUUGAGUAAGAGACAAAAUAAGAAGCCAACAUCUAAUCAUUCUCUUGAUGGAAGGAGGAAAUUAAAGGGGGAAAAAAUCAUGAAAAUGGCCAAAAAUAUCCCCUGAGGAAAUAAACAGGUGAUUUAUUAAAUAAAUAGUUGUAUAAGAAGAUUCCGCAAGCAUCCCUGGAUUAAAAUCAGUGUUCCUGACUCUUGUGAUUUCAGCAUGAGACUUGCGAUAUUUGGCGUUUUUCUUUAAGCCUUAACUCUGGAGAUAAGCAAUUACCUGAAAACCUCUGCUUUUAUUAACAAAAAUAAGCUUCUAGCCCUCCUGGUUGCAAAGAAAGCUUGAAAAUGUGAUUUGAAUGCACUCUGAAGGCUCAGAAACUAAGGCAACUAAAAAACCCAUUUAUUAUUAUGUUAAAAACUCAUGAUUUUUAAUCUAGUCUCAGAUUGUGUGGAACCUGACUCCAUAAUUUUUUAACAUUUGGGGUUAGAAAUACUGUAAAAUCAAAUUUAAACGCAUUUAUAC